CACUCUAGUGGCCUAAUGGUUAGAGCAUCUGCCUAGGAUGCGGGAGGUCGUGGGUUCGAUCCCUGAUUGAGUCA